AUUCUGCAGAAAGCCGUCAAGAUGAGAGUGGGGGCUUCUCCUUCUCAAUUUAUCCUCUCUGCUUUUGCGACUUUAGCUAUUCUCGCCUUGCUCGUUUUUUACGCUUUUAAGGGAGAGUUGUCCAUCUCUGAUAUCGCAUUUCUUGUUUUCUUAGUUGGAGGGUUUUCGUAUACGACGGUAGAGAUUGGAUUAAUGUUAUGGGGACCGAGCACAAAGGAGUCAGCGGAGAGCAGCCCGUUAUUAGGUGAGAGAGUACAAUCAUGUGCUGUGGACAUUCUAAAGGGAUCACAAGAGACCCAAUCAUUACCAUAGAUCACGUCGCUAGAGCAUGCACAACGCGGACGCUAAUUCAAGUACAGCAUAGUCGGAUCGCAGUUACGUACGGUGCAAUUCACGGAAAUGAAAGUAGUACAAUGUUGGGAAUAGUCGGGUUUUUUUCCUUUUAUUUAUUUUUAGGUUUAAAAUUAUAUGUGAUUGUGUUUUCGACUAGCUGGUAGUCUAUUUGAAAUUAAACUAUGAUUUCAAUGUAUAAAUUUCAGUAUAAAGUACA